GACAGAGGGUGCAAACGUUGUUCGGAAUUACUGGGCGUAAAGCGCGUGUAGGCGGCCCUGCAAGUCGGAUGUGAAAUCCCACGGCUCAACCGUGGAAGUGCAUUCGAAACUGCAGGGCUAGAGUCCUGGAGAGGAAGGUGGAAUGCUUGGUGUAGAGGUGAAAUUCGUAGAUAUCAAGCGGAACACCGGUGGCGAAGGCGGCCUUCUGGACAGUGACUGACGCUGAAACGCGAAAGCGUGGGGAGCAAACAGG
rnacentral:rRNA from 1 species